UACGUAGGGUGCAAGCGUUAAUCGGAAUUACUGGGCGUAAAGCGUGCGCAGGCGGUCUUGCAAGACAGAUGUGAAAUCCCCGGGCUUAACCUGGGAACUGCAUUUGGGACUGCAAGGCUUGAGUGCGGCAGAGGAGACUGGAAUUCCUGGUGUAGCAGUGAAAUGCGUAGAUAUCAGGAGGAAUACCGAUGGCGAAGGCAGGUCUCUGGGCUGACACUGACGCUCAUGCACGAAAGCGUGGGGAGCAAACAGG
rnacentral:rRNA from 1 species